AAUGUAGCAAAUCCAGUACACUGACCACAGUUUAAUUUAAAUGUCUAUAUCACCGACUUGGCCAGCGCAAUAAGUGAACCCGUAAAGCGAAGAAUCUGUCAAAAAAAUAAACAAAAAGAAUAUGAAGAACGUACAAAUAACAUAAUGGCAGGCCUACCGAAGUGAGCGUCUCCAGCGAUGGAGAAAAGAAGGGUAUCUUGAUGAUGAGCACACGCUGAGCUCUGGCAAUCAUGAGAAGCGUCAUCUUCUGAACGCGAACGCUGUGACCAUGCCAAUGACUGCUAAAAAUGCUGUUCGAUAAUUCCAAGCACUUAUAUGGGUGCCACCCAAGCAGUAGAGAAAGAUUUCCGUGCCCACAGCGCAUGUGUAGACCAAAUAGACUAUAAUGCCCACUCCAGAGAACUGCACAAAUUACAGAGAAAUAAAAAUUAUGAAGAGAACAAAAUUAAAUAAAUGCCUCACCAGCAGCAUAUCCACCACGCUGGUGCCUAUAAUCAAACUGGAGGUGACAAAGUGUCCCAGUGUAAUCUCUACCAUAAUGCCCGAAAGGCGUUCCGUCAACUCGGCCACCUCAUUGUGGCGAUCUAUGAGCAGUUCCAUCCUUCGAACAAUCCGAGAUUCCUCCAUUGCCGUAAGUUCCAGCUUAUCAUCUUUUAUGGCCAACAAAUCGCAGACAUCGUCGCGCAGGGAAUGCAGCAGUACGGUCAGAUACAGACAGAAGCCCAGAAAAAAGCCAUCAGCUCCAACAAAACAAACAACGGUGAUGUAACCAUGCCAAUGAACAAGCAUGUAGAUCAAAGGGUACAAGGGCAGACGUAGAAACGAAUCGGGAAAGCUGGAAAAACAAGUUAGAAGCUAAUCCAUUGAAUUGAAAUCAACAAAUUAUUUUGGAGAAAAAUAAUCAAUAUAAAAGAAAAAUUAAAAGAAAUUAAAUCAAGCGUGAAAGGCUAUAAUCCAGAACCUGACCAUUAUAUAAAUAAAUGAUUAAAGUUUAAA